rnacentral:rRNA from 1 species
GAUGAACGCUGGCGGCGUGCUUAACACAUGCAAGUCGAACGAAGCAUUUAAGACAGAUUACUUCGGUUUGAAGUCUUUUAUGACUGAGUGGCGGACGGGUGAGUAACGCGUGGGUAACCUGCCUCCUACAGGGGGAUAGCAGCUGGAAACGGCUGGUAAUACCGCAUAAGCGCACAGUACCACAUGGUACAGUGUGAAAAACUCCGGUGGUAUGAGAUGGACCCGCGUCUGAUUAGCUUGGUGGCGGGGUAACGGCCCACCAAGGCGACGAUCAGUAGCCGACCUGAGAGGGUGUCCGGCCACAUUGGGACUGAGACACGGCCCAGACUCGUACGGGAGGCAGCAGUGGGGAAUAUUGCACAAUGGAGGAAACUCUGAUGCAGCGACGCCGCGUGAGUGAAGAAGUAGUUCGCUAUGUAAAGCUCUAUCAGCAGGGAAGAUAGUGACGGUACCUGACUAAGAAGCUCCGGCUAAAUACGUG